CCCUUCCCAUCCCGAACAGGACCGUGAAAUGCCGACGCGCCGAUGAUAGUUACUUAACUGUAGCGAAAGUAGGUUGCUGCGAGAC
rnacentral:rRNA from 1 species